AAUUGAUUGAUGAGAAAGCCAACUGAAUUUGAGAGUCUUCGAUAAGAGAGGAAAAGCUAGGCUGAAACUUUUCCAGGAGAAAACCAAAGGAUGACCACUUUCGAAACCCUUGUUGAAGCAAGGGCGGUCGGACCGUUACAACGCUUGAGGAACGCAUUUGCGUUUGAACAUUAGGUGGAACCACGAACUUUUCGUCCUAGUA
rnacentral:ncRNA from 1 species